UACGUAGGCAGCGAGCGUUGUUCGGAAUUACUGGGCGUAAGGAGUGUGUAGGCGGUGCUCUAAGUUCGGUGUGAAAUCUCCCGGCUUAACUGGGAGGGUGCGCCGGAAACUGGAGUGCUCGAGCGUGGGAGAGGAAAGCGGAAUUCCUGGUGUAGCGGUGAAAUGCGUAGAUAUCAGGAGGAACACCUGCGGUGUAGACGGCUUUCUGGACCAUUGCUGACGCUGAGGCACGAAAGCGUGGGUAGCAAACAGG
rnacentral:rRNA from 1 species